AAAAUGUAAACAAACCGAAAUUAUGCGUUGACAUGUACGAUGUCUCUACGUUGCAAUUCCUACUUACAAAAUGGGAGUAAACUGAAGACAGUGCUAAUAAUUUCGUUGCUAUUGAACUUGAUAUUGUUGAGUGUUUGUUUGGGUUUAAGGCUAUGGUGGAGAAACAACCAUGACACAUCGGUAAAUGACGGCGCUCUUCAUGGUGAGCGGUGUUAUUCGUUCGGCUCAGAGGUCAAUUUGUCCAAGGACAGUGUCUGUGUGUCAUGUGAUCACCUUGGAGACGACGUCAGGGCCGAGGACACGUUGUAUGACGUCAUUGUAUCAUCAAAGUGUGGGAACAGACUGUGUUGUUAUAGAGACAGAGACAUUUGGAGUUUGACACAUACGGUAUGGCGCGCAAUAUUACUUGAAUGUUAGACAAUUUUUAUAUGCAAUUUAUGAUGAUAUAUUUUUGCUCAUAAAGACAAUCGUCAACUUUUUUUUAUCUUUGGAUCUUAAUGCACGUCAAAACGAAAGUUAUUUAUCAUAUUAUGAUGCAAAAAUUAUUACAUUGACAUGCGUUCUUAACAUUAUCCAGAUAUGAAUAGAUAACAAUUUUCCAUAUAAUCGAUUAUCAUGCGAUAUAUGUCAACAUACACAUUGAGUUGAAUCUUGAUAAGUUGAAUAUUUUGUCAUGAAUUAUAAUGAUUAUAUUAAUCAUAUUAAAUAACUCAUUUGUUGCCGAUAUUUAACAUUCUAUGAUCUUUUGUGAACCAUUUUUAGCGUGUCUUAAAGUAACUAGUAAGUUACUUGAUGACAUGAUUUUUUAGCAUGUUGACAUAAUUUUGGCACAUAUUUCUUACGCAUGUAGGGAGCAGAAUUAUACCAUCAUGAUGCACGAUUUCAGUAUAUAUAAUAUCUAAGCGUUCAAGAUACAUGUACAUGUAUAUUAUUUUGAUAUCAUUACAGGUUUUAGAAAUCCCAGAUCAGCGAUCAACGGAAGGUAUGUCUUAACCUUCUCUUUCUAUCUUUGCAUAUAAUUUGUUGUUAUGUGUUUUAUGUAAUUUUGUUUAGUUCAUAAGACUCGUUGGAGUACGAUACAUAAUUAUCGCUUAGAAAGCCAUUGUAACAGUGUCAUUUUUUGCAGGUGGAGACCUUACAUGGUGGUACAAUCGCCCGGAUGCAGCGCACCUGUUUUUGGACCACUCGCUCUCCCCUCCCCAAUGGUCUCCUAACAAUGUCCCCGGUGUCUCCUUCACCAACCUCCCCAUCAGAAAUAACCGUAUAUCCAUCCAGAAGGAGGGUCUCUAUUUCGUGUACGCCGUGUUCUCUCUAGAUUUUUCUAACUUCGGUCCCGGUAUCCCCCAGGUUUAUCAUAAUAUCACAAGUCAGCAUCCGUUGCUAAAACGAACGGGACCGGAACUUCACUUCAUGAACAAAUAUGGCGGGUUUACAAAGUCUGGGCAAAAUUACCAUAGCAGCUUUUUAAGUGGGAUUCUUCAUUUGAGGCGAGGGGUCGAAAUCGCAACACAGAUUUCUUUACACUCAAUGAUAGAUAUUACAAAAUAUUCAAACUAUUUUGGUGUUUUCAAAUUAAAUAAGUAAAAACGAGUUUUAAAAAAAACCCACCAUGGUCAUCGUUCUAUUGUCAUAGAUAAUUUGAAAUUAUUUGUUCUUUUUUAGGGAGUGGGGGUGGGGGGAGAGGGGGUGGAGAGAGAGUGAUGUGGUCGUAAUGUAUUUGACAUUGUUAAUGUUAACGCAUUAAAGUUGUAAUAAAGCUAGUGGUAAAUUGUUUUACAAAUUUCUGUACAUAACAAAGUGUGGAGUAUUCAUUAUCUAGAAGUGUUUUAUAGAAUGGAAUAAUAAAAAAUAAAAUAUUUAUCGAACACC
rnacentral:misc_RNA from 1 species